ACACGAUUAGCACAACAAAAAUGUUACACAAUUCCCGACAGAAUCACCACCUUUCAUACCCUAACAUGCCUUGCUAACCAUCCUCGUCCUACGAGAUGUCAUUCCCCAAGGUCGUGUCUUUUUGAGACACCGACUCUUCUCGAAUCCCAUUCGGUAGGCAUGUGUGGAACAAGGGACUGACUACUAUCGCAUGCAUCUCAAUAUGCAACAGAUAUAAUUUCUCACCAUGUACUCAUGUGCAUGAUCAUAUCACCAUAUGAAAUAUCAUCACUUAUGUUAACAUAACGGUAAUGUUUCCUCCAUCACAACAAAUCACACCCAACAAUAAUAUAUCCAAGUCUAGAAUGCUUUCCUUCAAGGUGUAGAGGGAUGAGGUGCACAUCAAAACUUUCUGAAAGUUUUUAUCUUCUCUUCAAAUCCUAUUUUGAAAUUACUAAAAUCAACAGACAAUUCAAACAGCACUAAAAAGUUGUUUGGAAGAUUUGCAAAUAAAUAAUAAAAUAAACUAGAUAAAAUUUUAAAGAGGUGAGAAAAAGAGUCAACUCAUUUGGAGAUUUAUUAUAAGAGAUAUGGCUAGUCAAAGAUUAGUCAAAGCUCUGUUUUUUCAAAUAAAUCAGAAAAGAAAACGAUUCACAGAGAUUACGUUUUUGUGGAAGAGGACACGUACAUGCACGAAUAUGCCUUCACUUAAGGCGGCUCUAGCUCGGUUGUGUCGCUGAUGAGUGGGGCCCGCCAGACAGGUUUGACCCUCGUCAAACCGGUUAUCUCCCUCCUCCAGCGGAGCGGAGGAGAGGCCUCCGGCAAAACUCACCGGCGAUUGGGGCCACUACUCCCGAUUCUGAGAGCACCAAUGUGCUCGGGGUGCCAUGGCGAUCUGCGGAGGUGGGGACUUAGUCGUGGGAGGUCAGGGAGGCUACGGCGGCUACGAGGCCGGCGGACGGCGGCACUGGUCCGCAUGGGACUUUUCACAUGGCUCACCUCGAGAAAAAAUGAGAGGAGGUAUGGGAUCGCGAUGCCAGUGUCGUUCCACCGAGGGGAAGAACGAUUCUAGAAAAGCUCUGUUGGCCUAGGAUUUAACUAGAGGUGCGGCGGACGAACCUCGACUGCAGGUGAGGAAGACGACCUCCCCUGGUCGAUUGGCUGCAAUGGGAGCUUGAGAGGGGUCGGAGAGGGCCUAUUCUGGUUCGGGGCGAGCUCGGAGUUCCUUUAUAUAUGCGGGCGAUGUCGGUUCCCCGCUGCUGCGGAUAACUCCGAUGAAUUGUUGCUAAGAGGCGACGUGGCGGUGCCUGGAGGGGGCCGCGAGCUAGCUUACGAACAAUGGAGUCGUACCAGAGGCUAGCUGGCGCGCUGGGCGACUUGGGUGGCGCUGCCAUGGCAGGGGCCAGCUGUAGCCGGCUGCAAGCCGCCAAGGCAGCUCUGAAGGCGAUGCUGCGGGGCUCUAGGGGGCGGCUGAGCGGCUGCGACGAGAGGGAAGAGACGGGGCGCGACCCUACGGGUGAGAUUGGCCAAAG
rnacentral:lncRNA from 1 species